AGAAUCAACGCUGGCGGCGUGCCUAACACAUGCAAGUCGCACGAGAAAGGGUAGCAAUACCUGAGUACAGUGGCGCACGGGUGAGUAACACGUGAAUUAUCUACCUCCGAGUGGGGAAUAACUGAGAGAAAUCUUAGCUAAUACCGCAUAACACUUACGAGUCAAAGCAGCAAUGCGCUUGGAGAGGAGUUCGCGGCAGAUUAGUUAGUUGGCGGGGUAAUGGCCCACCAAGGCUUUGAUCGGUA
rnacentral:rRNA from 1 species